rnacentral:misc_RNA from 1 species
CUUUUAGGAGAGGAAAUGAAUCCUUUAAAUAUACUCAUUCAAAUUCUAAAUAUUUUUAUACAUUCUUAAUUCUUCUCUCAAUUUCCUUAUCCUAUCAACCUCUCAGUCUCUUCACCUCCACCUCCUCUGGAUGCAUCGAUUCACCAUAUCCCUCCAUUACCCUCUCACUCACUCUCUCUCAUCUCAUGGUCACUCUUUACUUUCCAUCUUCCCUCAAAAUCCUAGAUUAAUCCUCCCCAUAUCACACUCCAGCCGGCCCCAUUCCCCCUACACCUGCGCCGGAUUCCAACUCUCUCUUCCCACCCCCUGCUCUGCCUCUCCCGCCUCCCAAAACGGCGUUCUUCAAAGGCGGAAAUUGCGCAGUCUUGGACUCAAAAACAUCGAUGUUGCCACCCUUGGUAAUCUCUGUGUAGAUAUUGUUCUUCAUGUUCCCAAAUUGCCCCCUCGUUCGCCGGAGGCUCGCAAGGCUUUUAUGGAUCAGUUAUCCGCUUCCCCUCCUGAUAAGCA